CCACACUGAGUCCAAACCUACAGUCACGGAGUCCUGGUUGUGACAGUGGAGCCCAGUUUGCACUGCAGGAUCCAGAGAUGGCAUCAGUGAAGCUGGAAGACUGCAGUCAAACACUGGAGCUGGAUGUCAACAUUAAAGAUGAAGAAGAGGAGGGAAGAUUGGGACAUCUGUUUCUCAUGGUAUGAGGCCGGUAACAUCAACAGUGGGGACAGACCCAGCCUGCCUCUCUCCUUCCACACUGAGUCCAAACCUACAGUCACGGAGUCCUGGUUGUGACAGUGGAGCCCAGUUUGCACUGCAGGAUCCAGAGAUGGCAUCAGUGAAGCUGGAAGACUGCAGUCAAACACUGGAGCUGGAUGUCAACAUUAAAGAUGAAGAAGAGGAGGAGAAGAUUGGGACAUCUGUUUCUCAUGGACAACUAGAAUUAAGUCUGAGGCCGGUAACAUCAACAGUGAGGACAAACCCAGCCUGCCUCUCUCCUUCCACACUGAGU